GCGUCAGCGGUGCAACGGUUUCAGCACAUGCUCCCGGAAAUAGUAGGAUCUGGGUUCGAAUCCCAGCUGACGCA